UAAUUCUCUGGGCUCGCCGUAUAAAUAAGGCUACUACGCUUUGAACAUUAAGUCACUCAACCAAUAGUAUUGACGUUGGAAACUCACUAAGAUAGAAGCGAAAAACGAAGGCAUUUGGACGGUUAUUGUUUAACGUAGCAAAAUACAAAAGAGAGAAUGGUUAGAGCAGAGUUCACACUUCUGGUUGUGGUAGGUGUUGGGCUACUAAGCAAUAAUGUGUUUUCAUCACCUUUACCUAAAGUACACAGCAGAAAACAAUUUGACAUCAUCUCCGAGCUAAAGCACAACAUAGAAAUGGCCAUAGUAGCGACUCUUCACCAAGCCAGAGACGCAAAAGGUACCAGCGGAGCCACAGAAGUAAACUCGUUUAAUGACCAGAUCGUCGGACCAAAACAGAUCCGUGACCCAGGCCUGGACGACUAUGGAAUGGGCAUGAUGUUUGGAAAGCGAUCCCCAGACAAUGCAUGGAAUGACCUUUUAGAAGAGGAUACUUUAUGAAGAACAUUUUUCAAACAGUGAUACUUCCUGAAAAAAAAUAAGAAAAAUGAUGGCACUGUCCAAUCAACCAAAAAAUACAGCCAUGAAUUGAGAAUUCAUAAAUCAAGAAAUCUAUUAUUUACGAAGGACAUUUUGAACUGCCGCUCCAAAUAUCCAUCAAGACUUAUGACGUAAUACACCUGUAUGUGACAUCAUAUAAUAAGAUGCACCAUGUUCUCUGCAUCAAAUCACGUGGCCCUUUAUCAACACGUGCCUUCCGUAAACUUUCGAUCGUUUCUACACGAUGUUAAAUAAUUUCUAUUGUACAUUUAUGAUUAGUAUAAAAUAAAUGUUAGGACUAUUGUUUUAGAUUCGCUUGAGUGAGUCAGCUGAACGUCUUAAUCGUAUCGUUUUAAAAAUAUUAAAAUCACUGAAAGUUUGUGGAAAGUUUAUUAAAACCCGGUGUGUUCAUUACAAGGAAAGCCAAACACGUACCAUGACGUUGGAGAAUAUUAAGUCAAAAUAUUAUUCCGGAGAUUUUAAAUUAAUGUUGUAGACUUUGAAUGGAAAACAGGAUUUAAUGGUGAUAAUAAUAAUUUGAUAGGCAUGUGUAUAGCACGUUUGGUACGGUAUUGUCGAUACACUGAUGAUUUUGUCAGUGAAGAUGAUAAUGACGAUGUCGGUGGUUGGUGGUGACUGAGAUGAUGAUGAUGCUGCUGAUGUGAUGAUGAUGUUGGUGAUUAUUAUGAUGAUGACAAUUAUGUCGGAACGUGAUCAUCAAAGAAAUUUAUCCCCGGUAAAUAAAAUUCUUAAUUGAACCCUGGACGUAUUAUGUUUUAAUGCUUUUUUUGUUUUCUAGAUUGUAUUUAUCAUAACACAAAUUAUCUCGCGUUUGCUUUUAUGUAGCAAAGUCAGUAAUUUUUAUUUGAUAGCAUUCUGGUAGUGUUCUCUCAUCGCCCUGAUGUGUUUUAAACUCUCAUGAGGUUUCCAAAUAAUACCACCAAAAAUAAUGCUAAAGCUUACAUGACUAGUUUUUCCUCUUGUAUAAUUUAUUUCUUAAAAUGUACAUUCGAAUUUUAUUUCUUGAAUUCCAUUUGAAAAUUCAUUAAAAAAACGAGUUAAACACCGCAUUUUCAGAUAUAGUUUCCCAAACUGCAUAGAAUUAAACAUCAGCAAGUUAAUACAUUUAUAUUUUAACUAUACACAUCAUGCGUUGCCCACCCCGAUACGUAGGUAUACAAUCAUGUAUGUAUAUGUUUGACUUAUAAAUAACUAUGAAACUCUCACCUAUCAUUUAAAUAAUGUACAUAAAUCAUUUUGUAUAAAAAAUUCUUUAAAUAACAUAGGCCUAAUAGUCAUCUGUCACCACAAGAAUACAAAAUUUUCAUUAAUUCAAUUUUAAAACAAUUAGAACCGUAGAUUUUCCAAUGCAAGAGCAUAAUAUAUGAGGUUUCUUUUACAAACAUUAAAUAUGAAACCUAAUCAUAAUAAUACCAAAGUUAUUACGCACUCAUAUCUUGGUUGAAUCAACACAAAGUGAAGUGCGUCUUUUCUACUAACAUUUAUUAAUAAUUCUUAAUUAAAAUAGGCCUGUAGUGACACGAUGUUAAAACAAGUUCACAAUAUUGGAUACUUAUGUUUACAUUUGGAUGAAUGCUUAACAUCGAAGCAUCGUGUGCAAAAAAAAUC